CUGAUGGGCAAUCGGGUAUCAAAGUCUAUCAAUAUGAAACCUUGAUCGAAGAGUUCAAAUUUCAAAUUCAAAAUUUGAAAUUCAAAAUUUUAACCCCGGUAUCCAAAAUAUAUGGAACUCAUGAUCAGAGAAUCUUAAUUCUCAAUCAUAGAGGUUUAGACACAUAAGACUCAUAAUCAGCCAUCAGAUCAGAAAGGAACCUCUAAUAUGUGUGACCUCGCAGGUUCGAACCUAAGCCAGUAGCACAGGAAUCAAUUCCUGUACUAAUCGAAGUGACCAUCUAGCAAUGGUACCCGACGAUCGGAUAAGUCGAAUAGUUGCAAUCGCAAUACUCAGAACCUACGUGAAUAUGGUUACUGUAUAAUUCAUCCCUUUUGACCCCUGUGUUUAGGAUGACUCAGGGUUAAACUGUCAAUCCUGAUUAAAUCAUCCGAAUCGUGCUCAACUCAAUUAGUCCUGUGACUCCUCACUAGGACUACCCUGGCCAAGGUUUUGCUAAAUUAAAAUACGACUGUACACAGCUCCUAAACUGGAGUGGUCAAUCCCAUCUUGACACACGCACUGACAAGUCAAGUACUUGACUACACCCAGCAGCCUUCCGUCACUGAAUUAAAAAUUCAGGUAGUCCAGUGCCUAAGUGCAGUGAGUUGCUUGCAAGUCACCGUGGCGGUCUCAUGUCGGAGGGACAUUUAUACCCAUAUCCCAUCGGAGCAAAUCUUGACAGCAGAAAUAGCUUC
rnacentral:lncRNA from 1 species